UACGUAGGGUGCGAGCGUUAAUCGGAAUUACUGGGCGUAAAGGGCGCGUAGGCGGCCUUCUAAGUCGGACGUGAAAUCCCCCGGCUUAACCUGGGAACUGCGUCUGAUACUGGAGGGCUUGAGUGCGGGAGAGGGAUGUGGAAUUCCAGGUGUAGCGGUGAAAUGCGUAGAUAUCUGGAGGAACACCGGUGGCGAAGGCGGCAUCCUGGACCGACACUGACGCUGAGGCGCGAAAGCGUGGGGAGCAAACGGG
rnacentral:rRNA from 1 species